rnacentral:tRNA from 1 species
AGGCGCGUUACGUCGGCGCGCUGGCGCAGGGCUUCGCGUGCCUUGGCGAUGGCCAGGUCGUAGUCCUUGCGUUCAUAGGCGCUGUAGGCCUC